UGAGGAAUAUUGGUCAAUGGGCGCGAGCCUGAACCAGCCAAGUAGCGUGCAGGAUGACGGCCCUAUGGGUUGUAAACUGCUUUUGUAUGGGGAUAAAGUCAAUCACGUGUGAUUGUUUGCAGGUACCAUACGAAUAAGGACCGGCUAAUUCCGUGCCAGCAGCCGCGGUAAUACGGAAGGUCCGGGCGUUAUCCGGAUUUAUUGGGUUUAAAGGGAGCGUAGGCUGGAGAUUAAGUGUGUUGUGAAAUGUAGACGCUCAACGUCUGACUUGCAGCGCAUACUGGUUUCCUUGAGUACACGCAACGUAUGCGGAAUUCAUGGUGUAGCGGUGAAAUGCUUAGAUAUCAUGAAGAACUCCGAUUGCGAAGGCAGCAUACGGGAGUGUAACUGACGCUUAAGCUCGAAGGUGCGGGUAUCGAACAGGAUUAGAUACCCUGGUAGUCCGCACAGUAAACGAUGGAUGCCCGCUGUUAGCGCCUGGCGUUAGCGGCUAAGCGAAAGCAUUAAGCAUCCCACCUGGGGAGUACGCCGGNNNGGU
rnacentral:rRNA from 1 species